AUUGAACGCUGGCGGCAGGCCUAACACAUGCAAGUCGAGCGGGGUUUUCGGACCUAGCGGCGGACGGGUGAGUAAUGCGUAGGAAGCUACCCGAUAGAGGGGGAUACCAGUUGGAAACGACUGUUAAUACCGCAUAAUGUCUACGGACCAAAGUGUGGGACCUUCGGGCCACAUGCUAUCGGAUGCGCCUACGUGGGCUUAGCUAGUUGGUGGGGUAAUGGCUCACCAAGGCGACGAUCCCUAGCUGGUUUGGGUGGAUGAUCAGCCACACUGGAACUGAGACACGGUCCAGACGCCUACGGGAGGCAGCAGUGGGGAAUAUUGGACAAUGGGCGCAAGCCUGAGCCAGCCAUGCCGCGUGUGUGAAGAAGGCCUUCGGGUUGUAAAGCACUUUCAGUAGGGAGGAAGGGUGUUGUGUUAAUAGCACAGCAUUUUGACGUUACCUACAGAAGAAGCACCGGCUAACUCUGUGCCAGCCGCCGCCGUAAAAC
rnacentral:rRNA from 1 species